AGUGAACGCUGGCGGUAGGCCUAACACAUGCAAGUCGAACGGCAGCACAGUAAGAGCUUGCUCUUACGGGUGGCGAGUGGCGGGCGGGUGAGGAAUACAUCGGAAUCUACUUUUUCGUGGGGGAUAACGUAGGGAAGCUUACGCUAAUACCGCAUACGACCUACGGGUGAAAGCAGGGGAUCUUCGGACCUUGCGCGAUUGAAUGAGCCGAUGUCGGAUUAGCUAGUUGGCGGGGUAAGGGCCCACCAAGGCGACGAUCCGUAGCUGGUCUGAGAGGAUGAUCAGCCACACUGGAACUGAGACACGGUCCAGACUCCUACGGGAGGCAGCAGUGGGGAAUAUUGGACAAUGGGCGCAAGCCUGAUCCAGCCAUACCGCGUGGGUGAAGAAGGCCUUCGGGUUGUAAAGCCCUUUUGUUGGGAAAGAAAAGCAGCAGGUUAAUACCCCGCUGUUCUGACGGUACCCAAAGAAUAAGCACCGGCUAACUUCGUG
rnacentral:rRNA from 1 species